AAGGGCCCAAGGUUCCAGGCUGUUAAAGGUCUCCGUUCACAGGCCUCAGAGUCUACCUUGUCUUCAAAUGGCGGUCUCAAGAAGUAAGAACUGUGCUCAAGAUGUCUUGAUUUGAAAGAGUUUCCCACAAGUUCUGAGACAGGUCUGUCUUUCUGAUUUCAGUUACUUAAUUUUUUAC
rnacentral:lncRNA from 14 species